CCGCCCAUACUAAGGACUAGCAAAAUAUCUUUGCUUUGAGAAAACCCGCACUUUUGGAAAGAAAAAGAGAGAAUCGGCUUGGAAGCAAAGAGAGAAAGGAAAAAAGGAGAAAGGAAGAAAGGAAGAAAGAAAGAAAGAAAGGAGAAGGAAGAAAAAGACAAGGAAGGUUCGUGUUGGUGGAUCCAAUCUACGGAAGGUCCUCCAAGAAUUGAAAGAAAUAGAUGCAUGCUUGUGGGUCAAUCUUUGAAUCCAUGGUGAUUUUGAGCUAGAUAAGUUAUGGCGAUGGUGACCAUGGAUGUGAAGAAAUUAUGAACUAGGUGUAUGGAACUCAAGCUAAAACUGAAAGAUGAGCAUGCUAUGUGAGUAUAGUAUAUUGUGUUGACUAUAGUUGGUUGAGAGUGUGUGGAUUGGGUGUUCAAUGAUUGUGGAUAAUAUUGAUGAAAACUAUAAAAUUUGAUUAAGGAAUUGUUGAUUUAUGUGUUGCCCGUGUAUGAGCACAAUCAAGUGUAUUGGGUUUGAAUGGUUACUAUGAGGUGUAUAAGUAGAGAGAGUGUGAAGUGGUGGCGUAUCGGACGAGGUAAUGGGUGACCGACAAGUAAAAUUAACUAGAUACGCAUUCGAGUCAAUAGCGAUGUAGUAUCCCGUUAUUGUACGGUGAGUAGGGGGUGCCUAUUUCAAAAUC